rnacentral:rRNA from 1 species
AACGAACGCUGGCGGCGUGGUUUAGGCAUGCAAGUCGAGCGCGAACGAGAGCUUCGGCUCUCUAGUAGAGCGGCGAAAGGGUGAGUAAUGCUUGGGCAAUCUGCCCCCUGCACUGGGAUAGCCACUGGAAACGGUGGGUAAUACCGGGCGGUCUCCGAGCGUCCACGGGCGCACGGAGUAGAGGUGGGGAUCUUCGGACCUACCGGCAGGGGAGGAGCUCGAGUCCUAUCAGCUAGUUGGUGAGGUAAAGGCUCACCAAGGCGAAGACGGGUAGCCGGACUGAGAGGUUGGCCGGCCACACUGGCACUGAGACACUGGCCAGACUCCUACGGGAGGCUGCAGUCGAGAAUCUUCCGCAAUGGACGAAAGUCUGACGGAGCGACGCCGCGUGGAGGAAGAAGGCCUUCGGGUUGUAAACUCCUGUCAGGGCUUAUGAACGCUUCCGUGGUGAACAAUCACGGUUGUUGACAAAGGGCCCAAAGGAAGCCACAGCUAACUUCGUGCCAGCCGCCGCCGUAACAC